rnacentral:rRNA from 1 species
CGGUAAUUCCAGCUCCAAUAGCGUAUAUUAAACUUGUUGCAGUUAAAAAGCUCGUAGUUGAAUUUUUGCUGCAUCGUGGUUCUUCGCUAUGUCGAGUGGGCCUCGUUGUGGCUUAGUUGGGGCAUGUUUUCAUGACUCGACGUUUACUUUGAGAAAAUUAGAGUGCUUCAAGCAGGCUUUUGCCUUGAAUACUUUAGCAUGGAAUAAUGGAGUAGGACUUUGGUUCUAUUUUGUUGGUUUUAGGAGCCGGAGUAAUGGUUAAUAGGAACAGUUGGGGGCAUUCGUAUUUGACUGUCAGAGGUGAAAUUCUUAGAUUUGUCAAAGACGAACUACUGCGAAAGCAUUUGCCAAGGAUGUUUUCAUUAAUCAAGAACGAAAGUUAGGGGAUCGAAGACGAUCAGAUACCGUCGUAGUCCUAACCAUAAACGAUGCCGACUAGAGAUUGGAGGUCGUCAGUU